GACGAACGCUGGCGGCGUGCUUAACACAUGCAAGUCGAACGAGUGGCGAACGGGGGAGUAACACGUGGGUGAUCUGCCUUGCACUUCGGGAUACGCCUGGGAAACUGGGCCUAAUACCGGAUAGUGCAAGAUGGUCGCGGGGCCUAUCAGCUUGUUGGUGGGGUAAUGGGUACCAAGGGGCGAAGGGUAGCCGGCCUGGGAGGGUGUACGGCCACAGUGGGACUGAGGUGCCGGCCGGACGGAUACGGGAGGCAGGAGGGGAGAGUAGAGCACGAUGGGCGGAAGCAUGAAGCAGCGACGUCGGGUGGGGGAUGAAUGUCUUCGGGUUGGAAACUCCUUUGGACGAAGACGCGGUACCUGAAUAAGAAGCACCGGCUAACUACGUGCCAGCAGCCGCGGUAAUAC
rnacentral:rRNA from 1 species